rnacentral:tRNA from 1 species
ACGAUGGCUCAGUUGGUAGAGCAAUUCAUUCGUAAUGAAUAGGUCGUCGGUUCGAGUCCGACUCGU